rnacentral:rRNA from 1 species
AGAGUUUGAUCAUGGCUCAGAGCGAACGCUGGCGGCAUGCUUAACACAUGCAAGUCUCACGGGCAGCAAUGUCAGUGGCGGACGGGUGAGUAACGCGUAGGAAUCUAUCUCUGGGUGGGGGAUAACUGUGGGAAACUACAGCUAAUACCGCAUGACACCUGAGGGUCAAAGGCGCAAGUCGCCUGGAGAGGAGCCUGCGUACGAUUAGCUAGUUGGUGGGGUAAUGGCCUACCAAGGCUGCGAUCGUUAGCUGGUCUGAGAGGAUGAUCAGCCACAUUGGGACUGAGACACGGCCCAAACUCCUACGGGAGGCAGCAGUGGGGAAUAUUGGACAAUGGGCGCAAGCCUGAUCCAGCAAUGCCGCGUGUGUGAAGAAGGUUUUCGGAUUGUAAAGCACUUUCGGCGGGGACGAUGAUGACGGUACCCGCAGAAGAAGCCCCGGCUAACUUCGUGCCAGCAGCCGCGGUAAUACGAAGGGGGCUAGCGUUGCUCGGAAUGACUGGGCGUAAAGGGCGCGUAGGCGGAUAUGACAGUCAGAUGUGAAAUUCCUGGGCUUAACCUGGGGGCUGCAUUUGAUACGUUGUAUCUAGAGUGAGGAAGAGGGUCGUGGAAUUCCCAGUGUAGAGGUGAAAUUCGUAGAUAUUGGGAAGAACACCGGUGGCGAAGGCGGCGACCUGGUCCUUAACUGACGCUGAGGCGCGAAAGCGUGGGGAGCAAACAGGAUUAGAUACCCCUGUAGUCC